GAUUUUCAAGGAAAAAGUAUGAGAGUCUCAAAUUUCUUUCCGUUUUUUUUUUAAAUCUUUCAUUAUUUGUUUUAUGGAUGUUUUUGUUGUUGGAACAAAGUUUAGUCCUUUAGCAAGAACUAGUGUUUCUGGUUGUGAUAAUGUUUUAGAGGAUAGGUUCAGCACAAAUUGUUUUGCAAUUUUAAGCUUGAUUUCUUUUUUAUGUAAUUUUAUUUUAUUUUUAACGGCUUUGAAUUUUUCAAUGUUUUUAUAUUUUUUUUUCUUGUUUUUAUUAAGUCUUCUAUGUUUUCCCAUGCUUUUCUUUUUGCAUUGGUAAUAAUUUUGUUUUGUAGUAUUUCAUAUACUUAAAUAUGAUUCUGUAUCACUAUUCUCAUUGGAUGUUUUCAAUUGUGUAAUGACCACAAGGGGUUUGUCCUUCUUCAUUACUGUUUGGUCAGUAUCUAUAAUUGCUAUCUAGAUCAAUCGUGGAUACGCAGUAGGCAAUAAAUAAACAAACCUAGGGAUAAAAUAUUCCCAGGUUUGUUGAUUUUCUGUCAUUAAUUUGCAACAUAUCAACAAUCUAAGUAAAAGCAAAAGUAGAGU
rnacentral:lncRNA from 1 species